UUGUAACAUUUCUGAAGAUUAAAGUCCAAGACAAAAUCAUGAGAUGAAGAAAAUCAAAAAAGAAGACAAUGCCACCUCCAUUUGCAGCCAAGACACGGUGUGCAAACCCCUCCAAAAUGCACUUAAUACCCUAGAAAGAAGGGAUAUAAUGGCUACAAAGCUUAUAAAACCUAGAAGGCCUAAAAACUAGGUGCAUGAUGGACAAGGAGAAAGAAUGAGGAAAUAAUAGAGGAGCCUUCUCCCGGAAGCCAUCGAAGAGGUGCUCUCUUGCUUCUAAAAGGAGGAGUCUUGCUGCGAAGAGAGACACCAGACGGAGAAGAACCAACCAUAGACAGAGCAGAGAGCUGCAACUCAGCUAGCAAGCUCGUUGCUCAGCAGUAGUAGUAGUAGUAUUAUUAGUAGUAGUAGUACUUCUUCAUCGUGUAAUAAGAGCUACAAUAUUGAGAGCAUUUGUAAGCUCGCGAAGGUAGUUAGAAGGAUCUUUGAGGGGCUGUCGAGGCCAAUAAGAUGACUGAGGUGUACACAGUGGUGUAAUAUCCUAAUCAGUACUCACCAUAUUUAUCAUUUUGUUGUUUUAGAUGUAGCUAAGUUCGUUUACUUGAUGUUUUUAGUUACAAAUUCAUGGAGUAAAUUUCUAUCGUCUUCCCAUGGAGUUCCAUCCGAAGGGAACACUUCUCUACGGCCAUAAGGUUCUCAUUCAAAUGCCAUAUUAGGCUACACAGAGAACUACCGACAGAGUUUUCUCCUAUAGGAUCCCUAGCAUAAGAACUCGUCCCAUAAAUCCAUAAAUAAAAAUACCAAGUGAAAACACGAAACUACAUCAUUUCCACAACAUAAUUUACAUAUGGUUUUCCCUUUCGGGAACCCCCGGAAGGUUUACACGAGGGUAAAAUAAAUUAACUUCUGACUACCUUCGCGAGCUUACAAAUGCUCUCAAUAUUGUAGCUCUUAAUACACGAUGAGAAAAUAGUACUACUACUACUACUACUACUACUACUACUACUACUACUACUACUGAGAACGAGCUUGCUAGCUGAGUUGCAGCUCUCUGGUCUAUUUGUGGUUGGUUCUUCUCCGUCUGGUGUCUCUCUUCGCAGCAAGGCUCCUCCUUUUAUAGGCAAGCGACCACCUCUUGGAUGGCUUCCAGGAGAAGGCUCCUCUACUAUUUCCUCUUUUUUUCUCCUUUUCGAUCAUGGACCUAGUUUUUAGGCGUACUAGGCUUUAUAGGCUUUGUAGCCAUUAUAGCCCUUCUUUCUAGGGUAUUGAUUGCAUGUUGGAAGAGUUUGCACACUGUGUCUUGGCUGCCAAUUGAGGUGGCAUUGUCUUCUUUUUUUAUUUUAUUCUUUGUAAUGAUUUUGUCUUGUACUUUAAUCUUCAGAAAUAUACAAUCUUUGGGUA